rnacentral:tRNA from 1 species
ACAUUGGUGGUUCAGUGGUAGAACUCUCACCUUCCAGGAAGGAGACCCUAGUUCAAUUCUCAGCCAAUAUA